GACAGAGGUGCCAAGCGUGAGGCGGAAUCACUGGGCUUAAAGCGUGUGUAGGCGGACUUGUAAGUACCUUGUGAAAUCCCACGGCUCACCCGUGGAACUGCUGGGUAUACUGCGAGUCUUGAGCCACUUAGGGGCUGUCGGAACAGGCGGUGGAGCGGUGAAAUGCGUAGAUAUCGCCUGGAACGCCAAAGGUGAAAACAGACAGCUGGGAGUGUGCUGACGCUGAGACACGAAAGCCAGGGGAGCGAACGGG
rnacentral:rRNA from 1 species